AUAUCUACGGGAGGCAGCAGUGAGGAAUAUUGGUCAAUGGGAGAGAUCCUGAACCAACCAAGCCGCGUGAGGGAAGACGGCCCUAUGGGCUGUAAACCUCUUUUGUCGGAGAACAAAACCCGGGGCGUGUCCCGGACUGCGUGUAUCCGAAGAAAAAGCAUCGGCUAACUCCGUGCCAGCAGCCGCGGUAACACGGAGGAUGCGAGCGUUAUCCGGAUUUAUUGGGUUUAAAGGGUGCGUAGGCGGUCUGUUAAGUCAGCGGUAAAAUUGCGGGGCUCAACCCCGUCGCGCCGUUGAAACUGGCG
rnacentral:rRNA from 1 species